rnacentral:tRNA from 1 species
GAAGUAGCCCAGCUGGAUAGAGCGCCAGACUCCGACUCUGGAGGCCGAGGGUUCGAAUCCCUUCUUCC